CAAAAUCAAUGGUAAAUGCUGCUACUUUUCAUUCUUCUAAAUGUGCCCUUGGGUAUUGCUAAAAUGUCAGUUACCAUUGAAAAUAAUAUUUUACAUUUGUCCAACUGAAAGGAUCAUCCAAAUUUUAACACAUUCGCUUUUUUAAAAAUAAGGUAUUUGCAGAUUUUGUUAUUUUAAAAUUCCCUGUACAGUGGAGAAAGCAGAUAUUCAAAAGGUUAAUUUUAACACUACUCAUUCAGUAAGUGGUAAAUGGAAAUUCAACCACAGUCCUUCUGAUUCAAUGUCCAUUAAAUACUCUGCUAAAUUCAGUGGUCUUUUGAAUGUAGCACAGUUUUACGACCUAUGAUGUGACUAAAUGAGAAAUCAGAGCCAUGAAACAUGAACAAAAAUCAAGAAGAACAGAAUCUGCAAUCAAUUUGGGAAAGAUGUUAAAAGUAAAAUAACUACUGAUGGAAGGAUUUGAAAUUGCUUUGAAAAAAUGGAAGCCAGCAUUUCUUAAUCAAUCUUGGGAUAGUUGGACACCUGAUUUAAAAGGACGACUGAUUGACUUCAGAAUCUGCCAUUAUGAAGCCUCCACAAGAAAGAAAAAUACAACUGAAGCCUUGCUAGGAAAAUUGAAGUCAAUCUUGAAGGAAAUACAAAGGUAAAUGAAAGUAAAAUAAAUUAUCAAAUAUAAAUAUGAAAUAAGUCUAAAAGAGGGUAACUACAUGCACAAAACUUAUUCAAUCUUCUAUUCACUGUGCAUUUAUUGGACAACUAUUAUGUGUCAGUCAUUGUUCCCAGUACUUGAAUACAAAAAUUUCUGUUCUCAUAUUGCUUGCAGUGUAGUAGAGAAUGGAGUAUUCUAGGUUUGGAGAUGGGAGGAAUGGCUAACACUUGAGUUCUCAUGUGCCAGGAGCUAUUCUAAGAUUUGUACACAUAAUUUUCACAUAAACUCACAAAGCUGUAUAUUAUUGUUCCCACUUUACAAAUCAAGAAAGUGAAAUUCAAGAAAUUUAAGUAACCUGUCCAAGGUUAUAGAGACAGGAUUCAAAUCUAAAGCUAUCUGUUUCUGUUGUCCAAAUCCCUAGCCAUUAAUAUGAUACAGCACCCUUCUAAGAGCAGAAAGAAACAAAUGAAUAUGGGGCGACUGUUUAAUAAAAGAGUAAAGGAGAUUACAGAGAGGAAUGUAAAUAACAU
rnacentral:lncRNA from 10 species